AACGCAUAUUGCACUGCCGGGCUAUCCUGGCAGUAUGUCUGUUUGAGUAUCAGUUCUCACUCAUCGACAAUCAGCGUAGUUAAUAGGGACUCUCUCCACACGGGGAAGGUAGCCGAGCACUGUGCAAACGAUUGUCGGACUUGGGAUUCCGCUUGGUUACCCGAGCGUGUCCUUAAAUGCAUAUCAAGUAGCAGCAGGACUACCAACACUCUUGCAGCGGAGGAACAUGUUUUUCUGCUGUACCGUAGUGGAGGGAAACUGCUUGCGUUUUUGAGGUGUCGGAAAAGUUACACAGGUAUCAACUGCGUGUAACUGAUCGCGGAUGCUCUCUCUAAACUUGAUCUCAAAUCAGACAAGAGUACCCGCUGAACUUAA
rnacentral:misc_RNA from 1 species